CCAGAGGAUGACUGAAAUAUUCUUCACUUUGACCUGACUGUCUGGUGAUGACUACAUUGAGUCUGAUG
ensembl:snoRNA small nucleolar RNA SNORD37